rnacentral:misc_RNA from 1 species
CAUAACUUGCAAACUUGUGUUAGACCAGAAAAAGUAAGUUAAAAUUAGAAUUAUUAUAUCUAAUUACAAUCAUAUAAAGAAUUUGACAUGUGAAGAGGAGAAAUCAGGCUCAACACAUUUAGAAAAAAUAAACUCUUAAAAAUUAAGGUUUAAAUUUUUUGGUCCUAUAAUUUCAUAACGUGCAAUUUUGGUUUCUUUAAAAAAAAUAUUACACAUUUGAUUUUUCAAAAUUUAUUAAUUUUGGUUCACCCUUGGUAUGUCGCCAAUCUUUGAAGUUUUAACAGAAAUUACUGAGCAUGAGACGGGUUGAAGACAAGUUAUCUCUAUUGUUACUCACCAAAAUAUUCAUUAGGGUCAUUUUCUUUCAAGAAACGGU